rnacentral:rRNA from 1 species
CAGUAGCCGCGGUAAUACGAAGGGGGCUAGCGUUGUUCGGAUUUACUGGGCGUAAAGCGCACGUAGGCGGACACUUAAGUCAGGGGUGAAAUCCCAGAGCUCAACUCUGGAACUGCCUUUGAUACUGGGUGUCUGGAGUAUGGAAGAGGUAAGUGGAAUUGCGAGUGUAGAGGUGAAAUUCGUAGAUAUUCGCAGGAACACCAGUGGCGAAGGCGGCUUACUGGUCCAUUACUGACGCUGAGGUGCGAAAGCGUGGGGAGCAAACAGGAUUAGAUACCCCCGUAGUCCCUGUCUCUUAUAC